rnacentral:rRNA from 1 species
GAUGAACGCUGACAGCAUGCUUAACACAUGCAAGUCAACUGUGGCGGACGGGUGAGUCACGCGUAAAGAACUUGCCUCACAGAUAGGGACAACAUUUGGAAACGAAUGCUAAUACCUGAUACUGUGAGAGCGCUUUGCGUCCCAUUAGCUAGUUGGAGAGGUAACGGCUCACCACGGCGAUGAUGGGUAGCCGGCCUGAGAGGGUGAUCGGCCACAAGGGGACUGAGACACGGCCCUUACUCAUACGGGAGGCAGCAGUGAGGAAUAGUGGACAAUGGACCGAAGUCUGAAGAAGGAAUUCUGGGUGCACGAUGAAGUUUUCGGAAGGUAAAGUGCUUUCAGUAGGGAAGCGGUACCAACAGAAGAAGUGACGGCUAAAUACGUGCCAGCAGCCGCGGUAAUUC